CUAAUAUAUUUGCCUUUAAAUGUUUUGAACAAAUUUUCCCUGGGUAGCUGCUUCCACCCUGGGAAUGUUCUGAGUGAGGUGAAGUAAAGCAAGCCAUUUGAGAGGGUUCUUCAAGGAGCCACCAGACAGGUCAGAAAAAAACUACAUUUGUUUGAGAAUAAAGUCUGUUCUGCUCCCUCUGGUUCCAGGUACAUACUAGGAAUGCCAGCUGUUGUCUUCAUGCCACUGCAAGCUGGGAAGUGGGAGAUGGUAUCAGGUUCCAGGAGAGAUGCAGUAAACCCAUGGCAGCCUCUGUCUCCCACUGACUAUAAAACCUGAGCAGGGUGUACGGAACAGCUAUUUGAAGUCUCUGAACAAAUCCACCCAGGGACCGGGAGAGGAGGUCUGUGCCGACCCCCCUCAGGCAGCCCUGGCCAACCAGAUCCAUUCUCUUGUCCUCUUGGACCCUGAGCGCAGACAGAUUCGGCACCCAGGGUGGCCUGUCAUCACCAUCUGAACAAGAAAACCGGCUCUGGCUGGAGGUGGAGGAGGAACUGGUGUGUGGACCCGGCUCGGUGCGUAGCCGGUCAUCAGAAGUGCCUGCCCCUUCCCCAACUAGAUGACCAGAGGCCCUGACAAGUUCCACUUAUGUACAAACACACAUUCGCACCCCUACAACGCACGGGCUUCUGAAAAUGUGCAGGUAAGUCAAAUUUUUGUAAAUCAAAUUCUAUUCAAUGUGGUUUGGUUGCUUUACUGUUUAAAGCAGCCCUGUUGCAAAACCUCUUGUGAAGUAAAUAGCUCUCCCUCCAUAAAUACCAAUGUUCAUAUUCAGGCUUUCAAAGUAUGGGAGCCCCAUCUGUUCAAAUGUGUCUGUGUGUGUAUGUCCCUGGGUGUGUGUGUGUGCCUUUGUGCGUGUGUGCGCGUUGGCAUUCACUCUGGCACAUAAAAGGAUCCAUGAAUGCAAAUUGUUUCUUUCUCUCCACGGCUU